GAGCUCAGUCACAACACACAAGGACAACAAAAGCAUUCAAACCAGGGACGGUUUAGUCAUUGCUUGAUGCCUAGUAAGUUGGUUUGGACCUUUUCAUGCAUCUGCAGGGAUUUGUCGACCUCAGCCGCCACAGUCAGGUUAGUUACGACCCGUGUCACAUUGAAUGACUGUGUGGCUGUGUUUCUGUGAUUUCUGACUAAUGAUCAACUCUCCAGAGUCGUAACUCCUGGGAAGAAAAGAUGAUUUUUAUGGACUCUGCCAAGGCACUGAGACUAUUGGCACAGCUAGGGUGUCCCUCAUUUGUUAUGGAGCCAUACCGCCACCUUGCCAAAAGAAGUGCCAGGCCAAGGACAAACUCUGUGUGUGUGUGUUUAAGUGUGUGUGUGUGUGUGUGUUUGCAGUCUGACCCCCAUCUCAGGACUGAAAACCUUGGUGACAAGCCAUAUUGGCAUCUGAAAAUAUUGUAAUAGAGCUCUAAAGCAGAAAUAGUCCAGGCACUUGUGUUUGUUCUCAAAGACAGGCAGAACUCCUGCUACUAUUAUUUCACUAGUUGAAACAUGGUGAUGGAAUGAAUCAAGUUUAAUCUGUUUUUAUCCAUUGUACUGGGCGGUUCUCAGUUAGUGGCCAAAAUAAUUCACUGAACAUGUCCAACUUUUGUAUAUUUGGAUGAUAGACCUCCUACAUGUCCAACAAUAAAAACUAAAGUGGGCCGUGUAACCUACUUAGGAGAAGAUGAAGUGCUAAAUCUCCAUGCAAGGUCUGCAACUUUCCGAAUCAUCUCUUCUUUGAAAAAUUGUUAAUAUUCCCAAGCAUGCUCAACCUGUAUAUCAUCCGGUCUCAGUGUAAAAUAUCAUAAAAUGCAAGGUAAACAUGUAUUUGUAAGUGUGGUAUAGGGGCCACACUCUCCAACACAAACACACACACACACAGGCCUUUAUCCACCUCCUCGUCUAACUCCUCGAGCUGUGUUGUUUUGAGUGAAAGAAGAACCGUCCCUAAUCCACUUCACGGAUCAGUUUCACAGAGACGGUAAAGCCAUUCUCCCUCCAAGCUAAAGCAAUUCAGAUCAGACACCUUGAUGUCUCAAAGAGCACACAGUGAGCUCUUGUUUUCUGUUUUGACUGCUGGGAAUCCAUGCCAGACAGCACCCCUGAUUCCAGCUCAAAGAUAAAACUAAUGAGGUUUUCAUUCAAGUCCGUUUUAUAACAAUAACUGAGUCAUUGCCAGACGUGGCUGUUUUCACUAUGGCGAGGAAAUUCUAUGAUCCGCUAAUCUCGGAUUCAGGGGAGUUAGAUUUCUAAAACUAAAGGUGUAAGGCUCAUCUUAAAUGCAGGUGAUACUCCUUUAAACUUUCAUCAUUAAUUUCGACUGCGCCGUGUCAAAUUGUAAGACAGUGCUGCAAAAAUGACGACAACCAUCUAAUAGCUCCCUCAAGUUCUGAAUCGCAGCGAAAGGCAGAUCUAAUUUACCACAUUACCUCAUUGUCUGAAGACACUCAUGCAUUUUGAUUUGUCUAACACCUGAAAGAACUUGUCUAUGAGGUGUCAGUUGCAUUAGGGACUUCAUUUGCAGCUAAUUGAGCAGUAAUAGGAGGGUAAUUAUAGGGAUAAUCUUGCUGACAUAUGCCGUGAUACCAACCUGACACCUGAGAGAUCUGUGGACAGGCACAACCCAACCAUCAGACCAGACGAUUCCCACAACCCUUUGCUCUUGUGAUGAGCCCAGAGAUGACACUUGCAUUGUCGGCUGACUUAAACAUCAGAGACAAGGCCUUAAUCCUCCAACAAUGGCUCUGGAUGUCCGCACAAAGACACUGUUUAUAGAGAUGUCUCCGUUUGGACACCUUAGCUAACCUUUCUUUAGGUGCCCUGAGGUGACUCAGUGUUGCCGGCAGCAUUCCUAAGACUGGAGGUCUACACUACACUACACUGAAAAUAGUUGUCUAUAAAAGAAACACCAUCUUUCCUUCAAAGGGGAUUAAUUUGCAAGCAGAAGAGACCAUCCACAACACACCUCAAACAGCUGAUUACUGCUCAGACAACGAUUUCAAAUUUAAACACGGAAACGGCAAUUCAAAGAAACUUCAAGCAUUAAAAACUCCUGAAGUCAACACAUGACAUGACAGAGUCUGGUUUAGUGCAUCUGAACUUUUGCACAGUGAUAGUUUUACUAUUGUACAGGCUCUCCUCAAACUUGCACCCCCUCAAGCUGUUUCUACCCUUCACGGGUGGCAACAUGAUAUAAGGUAAAAGCCUCCCAAAGAAAAGAAUUGGUCCUUGGAUGUAACAAAUGUGUGAAAAAGUUUCGGCCAUAAAAAUCUGACGAUACCAUUUAGAAAAGAAAUGUGUUUUCUUCACACCAUGCUCCUAUCCAGGGGCUUAAUAACUUGUGUGAAUGAAGAGCCCACCUCUUGGGCACAGGGUCACCAGUAAACAUAAAUAACGGAUUGUAGAAGUGCUCCGAAGUGGUGGCAGCGGGUUAGAAUGACCAGAUAGGGCAAAAAUAUAGUAUAAUCAAAACCUUACUAACAAAGACAAAGUGAAAAACUCCCAAAGAGAUAAUCACUGAUGUGUUCGGAUCCCCCAGUAGACUGUCCAUGAUAAAGAUUACUUAAACAAAGGUUGCUAUUGCAGCGCUAUCCUUAUUUCUUUCCCCUGAUCUUCCUCACAGUUGUGGUUGCAUCAGCAAACGGCCACUACAGUGCUGCACACAUGAAAGAAAUAGAGUUGGUGAUAGUGUUGAAGAAAUUUUUGAAAACUCAAUUACGCCCAGUCGGCCUCAGACACCGAUGCGCACACGUUUGAAAAUCAGACCACCAGCGUGACGACUCUUCCCUGCAAUCAUGUCACUGCACAUCGAUCUCUGGAAAGACAAUUCAGCUGUCACUUUUCUUGUCAUGAACUGGAUUGCAGCGCUUGUGUGUUUCUUCGGUGGGGUUCAUUGAUAUGGUCCUGCACAAAGCUAAACCCCCUCAAUAUUUAUUCAGUCCCCGGCUUCAAGUUAAUCAAAAGUCACGACAAUGUCACCACGGAGGAGUGCUAAUAAUUAUCAAAGCAAAUCUUUGUUCUUCAGAGUCAGUUUGUGUGGUAUGCACCAGUGGCGUCUUACCGCCAGGCCUUCGUACGGUUAACGUUUCAAAGUAAGAAUUCACCCCGUGCCCCAAAUCAGAGGCUCAGUUAGCACUGACUUAAAUCUUAUGUAACUCUGGGCUCUUGACAGGCAGACACCUCUGCUGACUACAGAUAGGUAAUUUGUUUUGAUCUGUGAUUAUACCCCUCGUGUUCAGAGGAAGAUGUAAACCCUCUUGUGAAGCUGUUAGGCAAAUCCUCACAAUGUGGGGAGAAGUUGCCCCCAGGGGUCUCAAGUUUUCACCCUCCUUCUCCAUCGCCGUCUUUUCUCUCUGUCUCCCUUUCUUUUUCUCUUUUUUUCAUCUCGUAUGAGAGACAAAGCCUCCUGCCAAACACUCAAGCCCCCCAGGAGCUCAUCAUACAGAAAACUAGGGCUCCUCGGAGAGCGAAGAGAACAAGCGAGAGAGAGAGAGGGAGAGGAGGGGGGAAGAGGGAUGGAGGAAAGACGAAGGCUUGUGUAAAGGAAAGGUGGGAACAGGGUUUUAGUUUUGUGUGUGUUUGUGUGUGUGUGUGGGUGUGUGUUCUUUCUACAUUGUUAAUGACUGUUAAGAGUCUAUCAGAGCUACGGGGCAUUUUGCACAUCCCACAAGCCUCCCUCCUUUGACUCCCUCCCUGCUAUUUUCCUUAACACUGCCUUUUGUGGCCUGUGCCAGACAUACCUGCAAAAUUAUCUACUAAUUAUCUACUAAAUAUGUUUGUUCAUGUUGGUUGAACGGCUCACUUAAUUGAAAGGGCGCUCUACCUUCCCUCUGCUCUUCCCCUCCUUCAUGCCCUUUGAGUACAGGAGGUGGGGGUGGUGGUGCGGGCUUAGGAGAGUGGCUUAUCUCCAAGAGCUCGUUAUAUUAAUGCCAGUAAUUAUGUGUUUUGCUUACUUUUGAUGUGCCUCUGUUCAAACGGGGAGAGUUAAUAAGAGGAUGACGGCAAAUAUGUCGGAGGGCCCUCUGUGUUGUCUUUGGGAUCUGGAAAUUCCUGCGUGUACCGGAGAGUGUGCACGCGCUGGGGGUAGGGGGCGGGGGAGGAGGUACCAAGGGGUGGCACCUGACUCACAAGAAUGUCAGCGCGCAGGUAAAGGCAGGAGCUUAUGAUCAAAUCUUUACUUCAUAUUUUUACUUCUGUUCCUUUCAGGCACACAAACAAAAACGCCCACCCCAGCCAAAACCUCCCUUUGGAUCCUAAAACGGGUGGAGAUGGCAGUGGGAUGGGGGAAUCGUUUCAACUCUAUUUAAGAGGGUUAGAAAGGGAGCGCUCGUUGCCAAGAGGAGCACAGGUCUCUCUCUGCUCUCCCUGAGGAGAGCGCUGGCAUGAAGAGGCGCUCUCUAAUGGAAAGAAACAAUCGCUAAUGAGGGAAAUAAAUAACAGGCUCAUAAAAACCCAGCGAGGAGGAGGGGGGGUGGAGGGAGAGCGAGAGGAUGAGGAGAAGAACAAACAGAGUGAAGUUAAAUUUGAAUGAUGGUCAUAGCAACAGUCGUUACACAGGCGCAUACACACACCCAAUGAUGUUUAGCUGUCACUGCUAAUGAGAGAGUGUGUCUGUGAUGUAAGGACAGGAGCUUGCUGAUGGAGAUUCAGACAGACAAUUGAAUAACAUUAUCUUCUCUGUCAUUGUUCAUUGUUUGUUUCUUUUUUCUUCUUCUUUUUUUUCCCCUUCAGCAUAGUGAUUAAUAUGCCGAACAACCAAACCUUUCCAUCUUCAUUUUUUUCCUGCUCCUACACAGAAUAAUAGUAGAAAUUUUCUGUCAUAUGAGAAUAUAAAUACAGAAGAGGCUACAAUUGAUACAAUGGAUGUGAUACAUCAGCACAGGGUGCAUCAGAGUGUAAGAAAAUUAUCUUUAGAUUUCCUUAAUUUUACCUUAUUCAAGUGAGUAAAGUUAAAGAAGCACAAGUUUCUGUUUUCAUCCCUGUUGUGUCCUCGAGGUGAAGAAAAUGUCACUUCUGCAAGUAUGUGAUGGGAAAAGUGACAUCUUACUGGGAAUGAACACUCCUUUCUGUUUAGAAAGUAUUGAAUUUUCUUGAGAGCAUCUUGUUCAUGAAGUUCUCUGUGACUGCUCUUAACACUUUGGUCAUCACAGUUUGGCUAAACUAGAGGAUUCAGUUUCUAUUCUAUCGGUAAAUCCAGUUUUCAUGCCACUAUCAAUCAGUGUCGGUUUCUUUUGCUGACUGUGAAAUUUCAAAGCACACAUUUUGGUCUGCGUUGGUUUGGUUUCUGCCAAAUUCUGAGGCCUGGGAAGAAAAAAAAUUCUUCUCUUCAUACUUCAUGCCACCUCCUUGUGUGUUUCUUUUCUCAAUUCAUCUAUUUUUACCUGUUUUUGCCCCCCUGUGUCUUUUUGCUUUGCAGAUCCACUACCUGGAACUGCAGAGGCGGAGACGGAAACUGGUUGAAACACACUGUGGUUUCAACAUUUCGCAUUCCUCUAGUGUUUUGACAACACAUUUCACAAGAGGGAUCUGAAGUGGUUUUAGAGUUUCUCUCCCUCAGCAUUUGAUAUCAAAGAAUGAUCCCUGCAAUGGCAGAACAUGCAGGACUCCAUGGG